rnacentral:misc_RNA from 1 species
AAGUCGUAACAAGGUCUCCGUUGGUGAACCAGCGGAGGGAUCAUUAGCGAGUUAACUACAAACUCCAAACCCGUGUGAACCUACCUAUCGUUGCCUCGGCAGGCCGCGCUGGCACGGUACGGGAAAGCUACCCUGCAGCUGACCUACCCUGGAGUAGAGCUACCCUGGAGCUGAGAUACGCCCCGGGGAGAGGCUACCCUGGAGUGCGGAAAGCUGUCAACAGACUAGCACCCCUACCCUGCAGCGCGCAACCAGGCCUGCCGGCGGACCCCUAAACUCUGUUUUACAACUGUAUCUCUGAGCAAAACAAACAAAAUAAGUUAAAACUUUCAACAACGGAUCUCUUGGUUCUG